rnacentral:rRNA from 1 species
GAUUGCAGGCUGCAACUCGCCUGCAUGAAGUCGGAAUUGCUAGUAAUCGUAGGUCAGCAUACUACGGUGAAUACGUUCCCGGGCCUUGUACACACCGCCCGUCAAACCAUGAGAGUUGGCAACACCCGAAGUCGGUAGUCUAACCGCAAGGAGGACGCCGCCGAAGGUGGGGUUGAUGAUUAGGGUUAAGUCGUAACAAGGUAGC